AUUGAACGCUGGCGGCAGGCCUAACACAUGCAAGUCGAACGAGUGGCGUACGGGUGAGUAAUGUCUGGGAAACUGCUUGAUGGAUGGGGAUAACUACUGGAAACGGUAGCUAAUACCGCAUACCAUCGGAUGUGCCCAGAUGGGAUUAGCUAGUGGGUGGGGUAAAGGCUAACCUGGGCGACGAUCCUUAGCUGGUCUGAGAGGAUGACGAGCAACACUGGAACGGGGACAGGGUCCAGACUCCUACGGGGGGCAGCAGUGGGGAAUAUUGCACAAUGGGCGCAAGCCUGAUGCAGCCAUGCCGCAUGUAUGAAGAGGGCCUUCGGGUUGUAAAGUACUUUCAGCGGGGAGGCGUUACCCGCAGAAGAAGCACCGGCUAACUCCGUGCCAGCAGCCGCGGUAAUUC
rnacentral:rRNA from 1 species